GACGAACGCUGGCGGCGUGCUUAACACAUGCAAGUCGAACGGAAAGGCCCUGCUUUGGUGGGGUGCUCGAGUGGCGAACGGGUGAGUAACACGUGAUUAACCUGCCCUGGACUUUGGGAUAACUUCAGGAAACUGGGGCUAAUACCGGAUAGGAGCUCCUGCUGCAUGGUGGGGGUGGGAAAGUUUCGGCGGUUGGGGAUGGACUCGCGGCUUAUCAGCUUGUUGGUGGGGUAGUGGCUUACCAAGGCUUUGACGGGUAGCCGGCCUGAGAGGGUGACCGGCCACAUUGGGACUGAGAUACGGCCCAGACUCCUACGGGAGGCAGCAGUGGGGAAUAUUGCACAAUGGGCGGAAGCCUGAUGCAGCAACGCCGCGUGCGGGAUGACGGCCUUCGGGUUGUAAACCGCUUUCGCCUGUGACGAAGCGUGAGUGACGGUAAUGGGUAAAGAAGCACCGGCUAACUACGUG
rnacentral:rRNA from 1 species